GAUGAACGCUGGCGGCGUGCCUAAUACAUGCAAGUCGAGCGAACGGACGCGAAGCUUGUUGCUUUCUUGUUAGCGGCGCACGGGUGUGAAACACGUGUAAAACCUACUUAUCAGACUGAGAUAACUUGGGAAAACCGGCGCUAAUACCGUAUGAGAUUUUGAACCGCAUUGUUGAAUAGUGAAAGACGGUCUUGCUGUCACUUCUAGCGGGAUCCGCGCUGCAUUAGCUAGUUGGUAAGGUAACAGCUUACCAAGGCAACGAUGCAUAUACGACGGGUGAGGGUGAUCGGCCACACUGGAACUGGAACACGGACCAUACUCCUACGGGAGGGAGCAGUAGGGAAUCUUCCGCAAUGGGCGAAAGCCUGACGGAACAACGCCGCGUGAGUGAUGGAGGUCUUCGGAUCGUAAAACUCUCUUAUUAGGGAAAAACAUAUGUGUAAGGAGCUGUGCCCAUCUUGACGGUACCUAAUCAGAAAGCCACGGCUAACUACGUG
rnacentral:rRNA from 1 species